rnacentral:rRNA from 1 species
UGGGGAAUAUUGCACAAUGGGCGCAAGCCUGAUGCAGCCAUGCCGCGUGUAUGAAGAAGGCCUUCGGGUUGUAAAGUACUUUCAGCGGGGAGGAAGGCGAUAAGGUUAAUAACCUUGUCGAUUGACGUUACCCGCAGAAGAAGCACCGGCUAACUCCGUGCCAGCAGCCGCGGUAAUACGGAGGGUGCAAGCGUUAAUCGGAAUUACUGGGCGUAAAGCGCACGCAGGCGGUCUGUCAAGUCGGAUGUGAAAUCCCCGGGCUCAACCUGGGAACUGCAUUCGAAACUGGCAGGCUAGAGUCUUGUAGAGGGGGGUAUAAUUCCAGGUGUAGCGGUGAAAUGCGUAGAGAUCUGGAGGAAUACCGGUGGCGAAGGCGGCCCCCUGGACAAAGACUGACGCUCAGGUGCGAAAGCGUGGGGAGCAAACA